rnacentral:rRNA from 1 species
AUGGCUCACAGGGCCGCGCUCUCAUUUGAUUUUGAUGAUGAUGAUGAUGAUGAUGAUGAUGAUGAUGAUGAUGAUGAUGAUGAUGAUGAUUGGAACCAAGAGGAGGAAGCAAUUGACCGGUGUUGGCAAUGUUGCAUCGAUCCUAUUUAUUUCUGGUUCUGUAUGCCUCCCAAGCUACAACUUAUACCCAAAAUUAUUAGCAUACAAAUUGGUAUCAGUUGUGGGAGACUCGGCCAUGCCGACAAUGCCUCCAAUGUGGUGGCGGUCAUGGUGGACGCCACCAUAUACAUCAUGUGUACAGGUAUAUGUACAGGGAGCAAGUGCCACAUUGCUACAUUUAAUGCUUUGGCAGGAGCCAAGAACAUCUAUGUGACAUGGAAGCUCUUAAUAAUGGUUAGCGUAUGGUUCGCAAUUUUUCCUGCCAGCAAGAAAGCAAUGCCAUGUCAUAAAAUUUCAAUUCACCAGUUCAACCCCUUCCAUAAGAUAUUGGAUCAACAGUUGGAAGUGAACCGUGCAAUACAUCACUCUAAUAUUAGUUAUAAUUGGCUGACCAUAUGGUGUUCCAAAAUCCAGCAUCUGACACCUGGUUUUGGUCUCAAGACUGCAGUAAAACAACGGAACAAACAUGGUUCGCUUCAAAAUUUACUUAGGCUCUGUUUGGUAUCUCUCCGCUCCGCGGAGCCGGGGAGCUGGGUUUUCGCUGCUCCGUUAAAAUAA